GCUGCGGCCAAGCCCACUCCCGGAUUCCUCUCUGGUUGGGAUGGACCCUCUCUAAGCUAUGGACAUGAAGCGGCACCCGCUCUCACGAUAUCGCACGCAGCGCCCGUGUACCAAGCAGCCCCUGUAGUGCACGCUGCCCCGGUAUACCACGCUGCCCCUGUGGUCCAUGCUGCGCCUGUGGCAGUCGCUAAAGCGGCUACUAGCUACUCCUCCUUCCAACGUGUGAUCCACCCUGUCCAACAUCAAGUUGUUGCACAGCCCGUGGUUCAUGCAGCCCCCGUGGUCCAUGCUGCCCCAGUGAUCGCCCAACCCAUCGUCCAUGCUGCCCCUGUCAUCUCUCAUGCCCCGAUCGCC